AUCGAGGCUUCAACGCUAAAAUCUUCCACCGGUCUUUGAGGGCCGCUGCUGUUGUUGUGUCAUAAUCUUCUUCGUCCGGUUAUCAGCUCCCAUGGACUGUUGUUUUUCUCACCGCCACCACCUCUUUUCAACCAAACUCCGUUUAUCCUAUUCUACCCUUUGCGUACCAAAACCCUUUAUAUCUCCUCCUAAAAGGCGGUCAACGGCACCGAGAUUUGCACUGCGCGCCCUCAUUUCUAGUACUAGAAACAGUAGCACCAGUACCAGUAGCUUCACUUGGGACGACGUCAUCCGAGUCUCUCAACCUGAUCAUGUCCCUCACGAUUCCUCAGAUCUCUCUGGCUUUUUCGAAAAGAUCGAAGUCUGCAAUCGCGGAUCUGAAAGGCAAUCUGAGUUUGUUCGAUUCGUUAUCGAAGGUCAAAUUGUUGGUUAUAUACAUAAGGGUUUUGUGGAUUAUUUGAGGACGUUCAAAGAUGUGUUUGUUUUCCCUCAAAGUAAUUAUAGUGGUCGCUCUGAGAGCUAUGUAACGUUACAUGAAAUGCUAAAGACGCCGGAGGAUAGAACCAGAGUUGUUGGAGAAGUUAUCAAAUGUUUAGGAGAAGAACUGAUUCCAGGUAUACGAAAUGAGCUGUACCCUGUGGUAUCAUCUUUUGGCUCCCCAGUCUACUUCUCAUUGGAGCGUGCUGCAGCUCCUUAUUUUGGAAUAAAGGUCUAUGGAAUUCAUAUGAAUGGCUUUGUUGAAAAAGAUGGGGAGAAAUUUCUAUGGAUUGGAAAGAGAAGUGAAGUGAAACCCACAUUUCCGGGGAUGCUCGAUCACCUUGUUGCUGGAGGACUGCCUUAUGGGAUCUCUUGUGGAGAGAAUGUUAUGAAGGAAUGUGAAGAGGAAGCAGGGAUACCUCAAUCCAUUUCACAUCAAGCUGUACCGGUUGGUGCUGUUUCUUAUGCAGACAUUGAAGGUUAUAGAUACAAGAGGGAUGUUCUAUUUUGUUAUGAUUUGAAACUUCCUGAUAGUUUUAUACCUAAUAAUCAAGAUGGAGAAGUGGAGAGUUUCAAGUUGAUCCCUGUAAAAAAUGUUGCAAAUGUUAUUCGGAGAACACAUUUUUUCAAGCCAAACUGUUCCCUUGUCAUCAUUCAUUUCUUGUUUCGGCAUGGGUAUAUUACUCCUGAAUGCAUGGGAUACUUGGAUCUUUUGCAGAGUUUGAGGAGGGGCGAUUGCUGCUAGAUAUUUUGGGUGGAAAUUACCCUUGGAUAAGUGACAUUCUUUCCUUGUAAUUUGUUCAUAUCAAAACAUAAUUCAUGACUAGCAAAGCAAUUACUGAACUUGCAUUGCAUAAAUGGUGGUCAAUUGUAUCACCCCAAUAUAUUUUGCCACAUUAACAGGCUCGCACUCAUUCCAGUGCUGCAAGUGACGUUCGUGUUGUCAAUUGUAUUCCUCCAUGCGGAAUAUGGCAGCUUUACAUCUAACUUGUGCCUUCACUUCUUAGGCCCUAUUGGGUAUUCAACUAUUGCUGGUUUGCUGAUUACAAUACUAUUCUUUUGAAAAGUCCUAAUUAGCAAAGCAUGUCUUCUAGUUGUUUGGUUAAAAUUGUGGUUUGACCAAAAAGGACUAGCUAUAAAUGCAGUAUCGUAAUUUUGUUAA